AGCAGCAGCGGUGAUUCUGAUUCUGAAAGCGGCAAUGAGAUCUGCUGCAAAUUGGGUGUGGUUCUCAUUAAGCAGGGAGGUGAAGAAGCGCACUGGCUCCAAGAAUCACUAAGGGAAACCAUUCACUGUAGAGUGAUGUGUGGUUUGAUUAUUAAGCGGCGAAAGAAUGUUCAGAAAAUGUCAGAAUCAUUUGACGCUAUUUUAAGAUGGGAAGCAACAGACAAGAGAUGUAUUGUUAAGGAGGUAGCAUGGUGGAGGAUACAAUUGAAUAG
rnacentral:rRNA from 14 species